rnacentral:scRNA from 1 species
AUACACAAGAAUGGCCGGAUCGAGAUGCCGAA